rnacentral:rRNA from 1 species
CACGUAGGGUGCGAGCGUUGUCCGGAAUUAUUGGGCGUAAAGAGCGCGUAGGCGGUCUGAUAAGUCGGUUGUGAAAGUCGGGGGCUCAACCCUCGGAUGCCGAUCGAUACUGUCAGGCUAGAGUCCGGAAGAGGCGAGUGGAAUUCCUGGUGUAGCGGUGAAAUGCGCAGAUAUCAGGAGGAACACCAAUGGCGAAGGCAGCUCGCUGGGACGGUACUGACGCUAAGGCGCGAAAGCGUGGGGAGCGAACAGG